AUGAGGAUGCAAGAGCCCAAGCCGGAGUACCUUUGCCCAACCUUUGCCCACUUGUGCAUAGUUGGCAUAAUUACCAAAGUGAUCCACCUGAGAGUGAAGCAUUUUUUGGUUCAAACAAAAGCAGAACUUCAUGAUACAUUGGUGAAGACCCAUGCAGAACACCUUGAUUGUGUGGUGGAAGUAGAGAACCAGAUUGAUGAGAAUGCCAACUUUCAUAGAACUAUAAGUAUGUUCGUUGAUAAUACUGCAACCCACUAUCUGGAUUAUCUUCUCGGGGGUCUGUAUUCUAGCACUACGAGUGAUUUAGAUCGCACGUACAAUACGAAAAUUCAUGCAAUAGAGUACAUGUUGUACAGAAUCCAGCUUUCUGCACCUCGUACUUCAGGAAUUUCAGAUAGCAGUUGUUUCCAUGAAGGCUUCAUUCUGAAGCUACGUAUGGAUGACAACAUUGUAGGAUUUGGUGAGGUUGCACCAAUCGAAAUUCACCAGGAGGAUAUAAUAGAUGUUGAAGAGCAACUUAGAUUUCUGUUUCACAGAGUGAAAGAUUGUGAGCUAGAUGUUGUUCCUUUGUUGAGAGGGUCUUUCUCCAAUUGGAUAUGGACAAGCAUUGGGAUUCCUCCUUCUUCUAUAUUUCCAUGUGUCAAGUGUGGUCUGGAGAUGGCUAUUCUUAAUUUGCUGGCAUCACAGCGGAAAUGUAGAUUAUCUGAAAUUCUCACUGGUUCCAACCCCUUAGUAAGAGAUCAGAGUCUGGUGGAAUAUAAUCAGAACAGUUCUGCAGGCAUACAUAUCUGUGCACUCUUAGACUCCGACGGUACUCCGAUGGAGGUAGCACUUGCUGUGACUAAACUUGUUGAUGAAGGCUUUACCACAGUGAAACUGAAGGUUGGACGUCGUGCAAGUCCUGCUGAAGAUGCAGCUGUUAUUCAAAAAACAAGAGAGGUUGUAGGAUAUAAGAUCAAUAUCCGUGCCGAUGCAAAUGGAAAAUGGACAUACAAGCAAGCAAUUGAAUUUGGAUCCAGAGUAAAAAGCCUUUGUUUGCAAUACAUUGAGGAACCAGUGAGCUCUGUACAUGAUCUCAUCAAGUUCUGUGAAAACAGUGGUUUGCCUGUUGCUUUAGACGAGAGUAUCGACAACCUUAAGGGGGAUCCAAUCCAAAAGCUUCAUCAAUUUGUACAUCCAGGGAUAGUUGCUGUUGUUAUAAAACCCAGUGUUGUUGGCGGCUUUGAGAAUGCAGCUCAUAUAGCAAAGUGGGCUCACAUGCAUGAUAAGAUGGCUAUCAUCAGUAGUGCGUACGAGAGUUCUGUAGGUUUGGCGACCUACAUACAGUUUGCAUAUUAUGUUGACAGGCAACAUGACCUAAUCUCCAGAUUAAAGAGAUAUGAUUCAUGGGGAACUGUGGCUCAUGGGUUUGGAACAUAUCAAUGGUUAACAGAAGAUGUAUCAGAACAAAAGUUACAAAUUCUUGUUCCCCCGCUUGGUGAUGGAAUGGGAGCUUCAGUGGAAGAUGCCCAUGGCUAUCUCCACCACUUAAAUAUAAAUGAUGAGAAGAUUGAAAAAACAUAUAGUGAAGAAAAAUUAAACUCAUAUGCUAUCGAAGUCGAUGGGAAUCAUUUUUCUUAUGUAGUUAAGGUUCAAGAGGCUGGUGAUUGCACAAAUGAUAAGGUCGUUCUUUUUCUUCAUGGAUUUCUUGGCACAAGUGAGGACUGGACUCCCAUGAUGAAAGCUCUCUCUCCCAGUGCACGGGUCAUCGCCGUUGAUCUUCCUGGCCAUGGAGAGUCCCAAAUUCUGCAACGCGAUGAUGGAAAUUUCAAUCAAAUCUCUCUUACAAUUCAAUCAGUUGCAGACCUGUUGCUGAAGUUGAUAUGCGAUAUAACUGAUGGAGAGGUGGUUGUUGUUGGCUACUCAAUGGGUGCAAGGAUUGCACUCCAGAUGAUACUAAAUGAAAAUCACAAGAUUAGUGGAGCUGUUUUGAUAUCGGGGAGUCCUGGACUGAGACAUGAAGCAAGUAGAAGACGACGUACUGCUAUUGAUAAAUCACGAGCUCAAUUCCUGUUGACUUAUGGACUGGAAUGUUUUAUCAAGACAUGGUACUCUGGAAAAAUGUGGACCAGUCUAAGAGAACACCCACAGUUUGAUUCCCUAGUGAGGACACGCAGAAAACACAGUAACAUCACAGAUCUAUCUAAGGUUCUGGCUGACUCGAGCAUAGGGAGACAAAAGUCCCUGUGGGAAGACCUGAAACACUUGGAGAAGCCUGUCCUCAUCGUUGCAGGUGAGAAGGACGUAAAAUUUAAAGAGAUAGCGGAGCGAAUGUGCAGCGAGACAAGAGAGAACGGCGAACGUGAAGCUGAUUGUCGUAGCAAUCAGGAGCUAUGUGAAAUGAUCGUUGUCCCGGAGAGUGGCCAUGCUGUGCAUGUUGAGAACCCUCUCCCCUUAGUUAGAGCCGUGAGGAAGUUCUUGGUAAGGCUACACCAGCCUUGA
rnacentral:rRNA from 1 species